CCUACGGGAGGCAGCAGUGGGGAAUAUUGCACAAUGGGGGAAACCCUGAUGCAGCGACGCCGCGUGAGUGAAGAAGUAUUUCGGUACGUAAAGCUCUAUCAGCAGGGAAGAAAAUGACGGUACCUGACUAAGAAGCCCCGGCUAACUACGUGCCAGCGGCCGCGGUAAUACGUAGGGGGCAAGCGUUAUCCGGAUUUACUGGGUGUAAAGGGAGCGUAGACGGCAGCGCAAGUCUGGAGUGAAAUCCCAUGGCUUAACCAUGGAACUGCUUUGGAAACUGUGCAGCUAGAGUGCAGGAGAGGUAAGCGGAAUUCCUAGUGUAGCGGUGAAAUGCGUAGAUAUUAGGAGGAACACCAGUGGCGAAGGCGGCUUACUGGACUGUAACUGACGUUGAGGCUCGAAAGCGUGGGGAGCAAACAGGAUUAGAUACCCGGGUAGUC
rnacentral:rRNA from 1 species